rnacentral:rRNA from 1 species
CCGGAAGGUGUGCUUGGAAUCACAAUAUAGCUUAACUUCUAAAGCACCCCGCUUACACCGGGUAAAUCUCUGUGAAACUCAGAUUACUGUGAGCCAACUCUCUAGCCCUAAUCCACUCCAUAUAAACCCUUUUAUGACAUUUACCAACUAAAACAUUUUAACAGCUUAGUAAAGGAGAUCAAAAAACUUUUAGGAGCUACAAAAAGAGUACCGCAAGGGAAAGAUGAAAUAAAAAUGAAAUAAAUUUUAAGCAAAAAAUAGUAAAGGAAAGCCCUUGUACCUUUUGCAUCAUGGUUUAGCUAGUCAAAUCAAGCAAAAAGACCUUCAGUUCGACCCCCCGAAACUAAACGAGCUACUUUGAGGCAGCUUACUGAGCCAACCCGUCUCUGUUGCAAAAGAGUGGGAAGACCUUCAAGUAGAGGUGACAGACCUACCGAGUUUAGUGAUAGCUGGUUGCUUAAGAAAAGGACCUAAGUCCACAUUAAAUUGACCUUUAUAUUUAAAUAUUUUAUUUUCAAUUUAAGCUCAUUCAAGUGAGGUACAGCCUGCUUGAAAAAGGAUACAACCUCCCCUUAUGGGUAAUAAAUGCAACUUAUGCAACUAAGUGGGCCUAAAAGCAGCCACCUUAAUUAAUAGCGUCACAGCUUAAUUGUAAACAAGCAUAAUCUCAUUAUUUUCAUAAAACCCUAUAUUACUAUUAAGCAAUUCCAUGAACCCAUGGAAAAUUUUAUGCUAAAACUAGUAACAAGAAGCCAUACUUCUCUUGAAUGCAAACUUAUAUCAGACUGGAUCAACCACUGAUAAAUAACACCCAUCACCCCAAAGUAGCAACUAAACAAGAAAACCCUACUUCACUCAGUGUUAACCUAACUCAAGAGCAUUACAAGAAAGAUUUAAAGAAAAAGAAGGAACUCGGCAAAUAUUGACCCCGCCUGUUUACCAAAAACAUCGCCUCUUGCCUCACAUAAGAGGUCCAGCCUGCCCAGUGACUUUGUUCAACGGCCGCGGUAUCCUAACCGUGCGAAGGUAGCGUAAUCACUUGUUCUUUAAAUGAGGACUAGUAUGAAAGGCACCACGAGAGUCAUACUGUCUCCUUUUUCUAAUCAGUGAAACUAAUCUCCCCGUGAAGAAGCGAGGAUAAAAAUAUAAGACGAGAAGACCCUAUGGAGCUUAAAACAAUUAACACCUGCCUCCUUAAUACUUAAUUUCAGAAAAAUUUUCUACCUUGGCAGUAUGAUUAUUAGUUUUCGGUUGGGGUGACCACGGAACAAAAAACAACUUCCGCAAUGAAAGACACUCCCCACUUAGUCAAGGACUACAGCCCUACACAUCAACAAAUUGACAUUAAUUGACCCAACAUGUUGAUCAAUGAACCAAGUUACCCUAGGGAUAACAGCGCAAUCCACUUCAAGAGCCCCUAUCGACAAGUGGGUUUACGACCUCGAUGUUGGAUCAGGGUAUCCUAGUGGUGUAGCCGCUACUAAAGGUUCGUUUGUUCAACGAUUAAAACCCU